rnacentral:rRNA from 1 species
AUUGAACGCUGGCGGCAGGCCUAACACAUGCAAGUCGAACGAGUGGCGGACGGGUGAGUAAUGUCUGGGAAACUGCCCGAUGGAGGGGGAUAACUACUGGAAACGGUAGCUAAUACCGCAUACAAUCGGAUGUGCCCAGAUGGGAUUAGCUUGUAGGUGAGGUAACGGCUAACCUAGGCGACGAUCCCUAGCUGGUGUGAGAGGAUGACCAGACACACUGGAAUUGAGACACGGUCCAGACUCCUAGGGGAGGCAGCAGUGUUGAAUAUGGCACAAUGUGCGCAUGCCGGAUGCAGCCAUGCCGCGGGGAUGAAGAAGGCCUUCGGGUUGUAAAGUACUUUCAGCGGGGAGGCGUUACCCGCAGAAGAAGCACCGGCUAACUCCGUGCCAGCAGCCGCGGUAAUAC